rnacentral:rRNA from 1 species
AUGUUCUGUAGCUAUGAUUUGUCCAUCGAUGUUGAUCUAGUACAAUUGAUUGAAUACAUCUCCCGCCUCGCCUCCUCUGACACAUACGAUUCUCGGCAUCUCACUCAUGUUCUCAUGGUGCUGCGGGCCAAUAUAGGUGGAGUUGCGCAUGGGGUGAGCAGACCGGCCUUGCUCCUGAAUUUCUGUCCGUGUUUGGGCUGGCCGGCGAAGAUGGCAAAUUCCGGCGCUUUGGGUGCCUCAGCUUCGGUUCCUUUGCUGUUCUGGUGGCCGUGCGUUUCCUUGGCUUCGUCUGCAUGUGUUGAGCUUUCCUGA